rnacentral:rRNA from 1 species
GACGGAGGAUGCAAGCGUUAUCCGGAAUUAUUGGGCGUAAAGCGUCCGCAGGUGGACAUACAAGUCUGCUGUCAAAGUGCAGAGCUUAACUCUGUAAAGGCGGUGGAAACUGUAGGUCUUGAGUAUGGUAGGGGUAGAGGGAAUUCCUGGUGUAGCGGUGAAAUGCGUAGAUAUCAGGAGGAACACCUGUGGCGAAAGCGGCGCACUGGACCACAACUGACGCUGAGGCGCGAAAGCUAGGGGAGCAAACAGG